AAAAAAAAAAACCCAGAUGGGUACUUCUCAAAGCUUGAAAUCAUCUAAACUGUAGGUGUCAAAGUAACAAUAGUGGUGGGGGUGUAAAAAAGCUCCAACCACUUCUUUCAGGAAUUUUCACUUUUGGAGAAACAAUUGCACAACCCCGGGUAUUAGAGAAUUGAAAGGAAGGUUCACGUUCAUUCAGCAUCUCUCUUUAGAACAACAAGUGAAUGGAAAAGCAACAUUAAAUGAGCUAUAGAGGAGAAACAUAAGUGGCCUUGAAUAUAAUCUGCAUAACUGGACCAAACAAUGAAAUGAACUAGAUAUACUUUUGUAACCCAUACCAUGAGAAAUGAUUAUUGUGAGCACCCAAUAGAAA
rnacentral:misc_RNA from 1 species